AUACGGAGGGUGCAAGCGUUAUCCGGAUUUAUUGGGUUUAAAGGGUCCGUAGGCGGCUAGAUAAGUCAGUGGUGAAAUUCUCUCGCUCAACGAGAGACCUGCCAUUGAUACUGUCUUGGCUAGAGUUACAGUGAGGUGAGUGGAAUGUGUAGUGUAGCGGUGAAAUGCAUAGAUAUUACACAGAACACCGAUUGCGAAGGCAGCUCACUAACUGUAUACUGACGCUGAUGGACGAAAGCGUGGGGAGCAAACAGGAUUAGAAACCCGAGUAGUCC
rnacentral:rRNA from 1 species